UGAAUUUUUCCCUAAGCAUGAAGAACAAACAGGAAUUUCUCAAUGCAGAAAGGACUGAAGCUGUCAAAGGUGUGUUUUGUUUUUCUGCACAAACAAGUUUCCAUUGAAUGAUAGAAUGAAGAGAUACUGACUUUCCUGGAGCCUCCAAAUUUGAGUAGUCAGCUUCACUGCAUGGGGAAGUUACCAAAAUAUGUCUCCUCUACCAAAAGAACAAAAAAGGAUGAGCAGAAUAAAAUAAUUUUGCAGAGGCUUCAGGGCCAAUUGGAGGCAGAGCUCAGAUUGGAACCCAGAAGAACUGGACUCCAAGACCUGUGAACUUAAGCAUGUGCAACAUCCUAGACGAAACUCAGCUGGUGGAAGAGGAGCAUAGGGAGGUGUCCUGAAGAAAUCGGGCCCAAGCUUUUAGCCAUCAUCUUCCAGUGGAGUCACAUGCAGUGUGCGUCAUUGUCCCAGCCAGAUGUAUGAACACCUGAGCAGAGUGCUGUCAAACAGCAACUAAAUUCCCAUCUUGUGGUUGAGGUAUAACCAUGCAUCGGAAGCAGUCUGCCUCUACUACAGAAAAGAAAUGUAAGUAACUUCAGACUUUCCUGUAUCCGAGUAGUGGGCAAAUGUAGCUACAUGCCUCCUCAAUGCAUUAGAUGCAUUGACUCCGUACUUGGAUUAAGGGAUGUCAUUAAACUAUUAAUCAAAUAAAUGGUCCU